CCCGAUCUCUAACUCUCUCACGAUUACCUCUGCUGCUCUUUAUCAUAUCAUCAAGAGACAUAUCCAAAGGAGUAGUCAUUGAUUCAAAGGUACAGGUAAAGCGAAGUUCCAGAAAUACAAAAGGAAUAAAAAGUAGACCUGCAGAUGAUCAGUAAAGACUCGGAAGAAAACUAAAGAAGAACGAUCAACGGAGAUCGAGUAAAGAGAGAGAGAGAGAGGAAGAGGGAGACAAAAAGUUUAGGGGAAAAGUAGGGUUUUUCGUUUUUCUUUUUUACGAGGAAGGAGGUGAGAGAUUCAUGGCGAAACGAGAGCGACGAGACACACACACACACACACACACACACA